rfam:Salpingoeca sp. ATCC 50818 unplaced genomic scaffold supercont1.38, whole genome shotgun sequence.
NNNNNNNNNNNNNNNNNNNNNNNUGUGUGGUCCGUUUAUUCUCUGAGUCGGGUGUUUGGGAAUGCAGCCAAAGCCGGGUGGUAAACUGCAUCCAAGGCUAAAUACUGGCACGAGACCGAUAGCGAACAAGUACCGUGAGGGAAAGAUGAAAAGCACUUUGAAAAGAGAGUUAAACAGUACGUGAAACCGUUGACAGAGAAUCGCUUGCAGCUAGCAGAGACUGGGCGCGCCUUGUGAUCAGGGUUUUUGGUGUGGUGUGUGAUGACGGUGCGGGGGGUGUAUUGUGUGCACUUGUUGCACAUGCGCCGCUGCGUUGCUGUUGUUGUGUGCUGCGCUGCCUGCACUCGCGGGGCGUGUCUGCCAGCAUGAGUUUUGUGUGUGAGAGACGGCGAUGCGAGGGCGCCCUUGUGCGUGGCGCAUCUGCUUUUUGUCUUUUUGUCGCACGCGGGACCGAGGAAUUUAUCGAUGCGGUGGCUUUGUUAUGUGGUCUUUGGCAUGGGUGCUGUUUUCGGCAUUGUGUUGCGCAGACUCUUGUUUUGGCAUGGGAGACUCGUUCUCUUGUGCUGUUGACAGAGUGUGUGCGGGCGGUGUUGGGAAUGUUGCGCUUGCCGCUUGGCGCACACCACCGGGGAGAUGCUGGCGACAGGGCUGCAAACGGCCCGUCUUGAAACACGGACCAAGGAGUCUAACAUGUGCGCGAGUGUUUUAGCGAGCAUGAAGCUAGGGCGCGCAAUGAAAGUGAGAGGUGGGAUGCAGUGUUGGGAAGUGUGCGUGAGUACACUUUGAACAGCAGCACUCGCAGCACCAUCGACCGAUCUGGAUUGGGGGAGGGGGAAAAGCACUUUUGUGUGGCUCCACCUCCUCCGCUGAAGGAUUUGCGUUUUAGCGCAGAUGUUAGGACCCGAUAGAUGGUGAACUAUGCCUGAGUAGGGCGAAGCCAGAGGAAACUCUGGUGGAGGCUCGUAGCGAUCAUGACGUGCAAAUCUGUCGUCGAACUUGGGUAUAGGGGCGAAAGACUCAUCGAACCAUCUAGUAGCUGGUUCCCACCGAAGUUUCCCUCAGGAUAGCUGAGACUUAUUUUUUGAACUUUUGGUUAGUUUUAUCUGGUAAAGCGAAUGAUUAGAGGCCUUGGGGGAGCCACUUCCCUCAACCUAUUCUCAAACUUUAAAUGGGUAAGGCGGCGCGCUUUCUUUGUUUAUGAAGCGGGCAAUGCUGAAUAACCGAGUCUCAAGUGGGCCAUUUUUGGUAAGCAGAACUGGCGAUGCGGGAUGAACCGAACGCGGAGUUAGGGUGCCGGAAUCGACGCUCAUGAGAACCCACAAAAGGUGUUGGUUGAUAUAGACAGCAGGACGGUGGCCAUGGAAGUCGGAAUCCGCUAAGGAGUGUGUAACAACUCACCUGCCGAAUCAACUAGCCCUGAAAAUGGAUGGCGCUCAAGCGUCGUACCUAUACUCCGCUGUGUGUGGAAGAAAGAAAGCGAGCGAAGCGAGCAUUCGUGCUUGUUGCGUCUCAAAACUACAUGUAGCCACACACAAGUAGGUGGGCGUGGAGGUGUUUGCGUGAGAGCAAUCUUUUGAACAAGCCGUGGAAGCCUGUGGCGUGAGCCUGGGUGGAGGGGCCUCCAGUGCAGAUCUUGGUGACAGUAGCAACGAUUCAAAUGAGAGCUUUGAAGACUGAAGUGGAGCAAGGUUCCGUGGGAACAGCAGUUGGCCACGGGUGAGUCGGUCCUAAGAGAUGGGGCAGUCCUGUGUCAAGUGGGGAGUUGUUGCGUGUGUGUGGGUGGUGGUGAUAUUAUCGCCAUGCUUGCACACGUGUAUAUUACCCCAGUCCAUCGAAAGGGAACCAGGUUAAGAUUCCUGGACCAACGCACGCCACAAAGAAUGUUUUGAUAGAGCAGCGGCAACGCGUACAAACUCGGAGACGCUGCCGGGGGCCCUGGAAAGAGUUUUCUUUUCUUUUUAACGAGCUGCAUUGUGGGGGGGAAUAGGGGGAAU